rnacentral:rRNA from 1 species
GAAGAAGGACGCGUUAAGCUGCGAUAAGCUUUGGGUAGGCGCAAAUAGCCAGUGAUCCAAAGAUUUCCGAAUGGGGGAACCCACAUAGUAACAACUAUGUACUGCAUACUGAAUAAAUAGGUAUGCAGAGGUAGACCCGGGGAACUGAAACAUCUAAGUACCCGGAGGAAGAGAAAGAAACAUCGAUUUCCUAAGUAGCGGCGAGCGAAAGGGAAAGAGCCCAAACCUAGGUCUUUGACCUAGGGGUUGAGGAUAGAUCAUAAAUACUGCAAUUCCUUAAUUGAAGAUAGCUGGAAAGCUGCUCCGCAGAAGGUAAUAGGCCUGUAAAUGAAAAGGAAAAACAGUCAGAUCUAAUCCAGAGUACCACGAGACACGUGAAACCUUGUGGGAAGCAGGGAGGACCACCUCCCAAGGCUAAAUACUACCUAGUGACCGAUAGUGAAGAAGUACCGUGAGGGAAAGGUGAAAAGAACCCCGGAAGGGGAGUGAAAUAGAACCUGAAACCGUGUGCCUACAACCGGUCGGAGCACUUUUUAUGUGUGACGGCGUGCUUUUUGUAGAACGAGCCAACGAGUUACGAUAUGUAGCAAGGUUAAGUACUUAAGGUACGGAGCCGAAGGGAAACCAAGUCUGAAUAGGGCGCUAUAGUUGCAUGUCGUAGACCCGAAACCGGGUGACCUAUCCAUGGCCAGGAUGAAGCGGAAGUAAAAUUCCGUGGAGGUCCGAACCACGUUGGUGUUGAAAAACCAUGGGAUGAGCUGUGGAUAGCGGAGAAAUUCCAAUCGAACUCGGAGAUAGCUGGUUCUCCUCGAAAUAGCUUUAGGGCUAGCGUCGAUUAAUUGAGUAAUGGAGGUAGAGCACUGAAUGGGCUAGGGGCUGACAACAGUUACUGAACCCUAUCAAACUCCGAAUGCCAUAUACUUUUAUUUCGGCAGUCAGACUGCGAAUGAUAAGAUCCGUAGUCAAAAGGGAAACAGCCCAGACCAUCAGCUAAGGUCCCAAAGUGUAAGUUAAGUGGAAAAGGAUGUGGGAUUUCUAAGACAACUAGGAUGUUGGCUCAGAAGCAGCCACUCAUUCAAAGAGUGCGUAAUAGCUCACUAGUCAAGAGAUCCUGCGCCGAAGAUGUCCGGGGCUAAAACUUACCACCGAAGCUAUGGGUGUACACUAUGUGUACGCGGUAGAGGAGCUUUCUGUACUGGCUGAAGUCAUACCGUAAGGAGUGGUGGACGGUACAGAAGUGAGAAUGUUGGCAUAAGUAGCGAGAGUUAAGUGAGAAUCUUAACGGUCGAAAACCUAAGGUUUCCUGAGGAAGGCUCGUCCUCUCAGGGUUAGUCGGGACCUAAGCCGAGGCCGAAAGGCGUAGGUGAUGGACAAUCGGUUGAUAUUCCGAUACCACCAAUGGACGUUAUUAGAAAUGGGAUGACGCAGGAGGAUAAGAUGUGCACACUAUUGGAUGUGUGUCUAAGCAUUUAGGCGGAGCAAGCAGGCAAAUCCGUUUGCUCUUAACGCUGAGAUGUUAUGGGGAAGGGAAUUUAUUCCUGAAGUAUCUGAUUCCACGCUGCCAAGAAAAGUCUCUAUCGAGGAUAUUGGUGCCCGUACCGCAAACCGACACAGGUAGGUGAGGAGAGAAUCCUAAGACCAUCGGAAGAAUUGCUGUUAAGGAACUCGGCAAAUUGACCCCGUAACUUCGGGAGAAGGGGUGCCUACGAAAGUAGGUCGCAGAGAAUAGGCCCAAGCAACUGUUUAGCAAAAACACAGGUCUCUGCUAAAGCGAAAGCUGAUGUAUAGGGGCUGACGCCUGCCCGGUGCUGGAAGGUUAAGGGGAUUACUUAGCGCAAGCGAAGGUAUGAACUUAAGCCCCAGUAAACGGCGGCCGUAACUAUAACGGUCCUAAGGUAGCGAAAUUCCUUGUCGGGUAAGUUCCGACCCGCACGAAUGGCGUAAUGAUUUGGGCACUGUCUCAACA